AGCAGUGGGGAAUCUUGCACAAUGGGCGAAAGCCUGAUGCAGCCAUGCCGCGUGAAUGAUGAAGGCCUUAGGGUUGUAAAAUUCUUUCGCCAGGGAUGAUAAUGACAGUACCUGGUAAAGAAGCCCCGGCUAACUUCGUGCCAGCAGCCGCGGUAAUACGAAAGGGGCUAGCGUUGUUCGGAAUUACUGGGCGUAAAGUGCACGUAGGCGGACUUUUAAGUCAGAUGUGAAAUCCCGGGGCUCAACCUCGGAACUGCAUUUGAAACUGGAAGUCUAGAGACCAGGAGAGGUUAGCGGAAUACCGAGUGUAGAGGUGAAAUUCGUAGAUAUUCCGUGGAACACCAGUGGCGAAAGCGAC
rnacentral:rRNA from 1 species